rnacentral:lncRNA from 1 species
GGUCAGGAGUUCGAGACCAGCCCGGCCAACAUGGUGAAACCCCAUUUCUACUAAAAAUACAAAAAUUAGCCGGGCGUGGUGGCGCACGCCUGAAACCUUAGCUACUCGGGAGACUGAAGCAGGAGAAUCACUUGAACCUGGAAGGCAGAGGUUGCAGUGAGCCAAGAUGGCACCACUGCACUCCAGCUGGGCAACAGAGCGAGACUCCGCCUCAAAAAAAAAAAAAAGAAAGCUCGGGCUGGGCGCGAUGGCUCAUGCCUGUAAUCCCAGCACUUUGGGAGGCUGAGAUGGACGGAUCACGAGGUCAGGAGAUUGAGACCAUCCUGGCUAACACAGUGAAACCCCAUCUCUACUAAAAAUACAAAAAAAAUAGCCGGGUGUGAUGGCGGGCAUUCAAGACCAGCCUGGCCAACCUGAAGAAA